rnacentral:lncRNA from 1 species
AGGUGACUUGCUUGAUUUCAUAUUAAGGAAGACAGCUAUGUCGACGUCUCCUGUGGAUGAAUACAGUUAAAAAGUCCUAAUCCAAAAACACUCUGGAAAGUGAAAUUCAGGAGGCCACAUCUGUCAGGGAUUCAAUGCAGAAGGAACUGGAAACUUUACUAAAUGAAGUUUACUCACUGGAAGGAAUCCAACAAGAAAAAGAAGGUACACACAUUCUGCUAACAAAGCAAUU